UAAGGAAUAUAGGACAAUGCCCGCAAGGGUGAUCCAGCCAUGCCGCGUGCAGGAAGAAGGCCCUAUGGGUUGUAAACUGCUUUUACACCGGAGAAAACCUCCCCUCGUGAGGGGAGCUGAUAGUAUGGUGAGAAUAGACAUAGGCUAACUUCGUGCCAGAAGCCGCGGUAAGACGAAGGAUGCAAGCGUUAUCCGGAUUCAUUGGGUCUAAAGGGAGCGUAGGUGGCCUUAUAAGUCAGUGGUGAAAUCUCUGGGCUUAACCCAGAAAUUGCCAUUGAUACUGUAGGGCUUGAGUACAGUUGCUGUAGGCGGAAUAUGACAUGUAGUGGUGAAUAACAUAGAAAUGUCAUAGAACACCGAUUGCGAAGGCAGCUCACAAAACGGUAACUGACACUGAGUCUCGAAAGUGCGUGUAUCAAACA
rnacentral:rRNA from 1 species